rnacentral:rRNA from 1 species
GAUGAACGCUAGCUACAGGCUUAACACAUGCAAGUCGAGGGGCAGCACAGAGAUAGCUUGCUAUCUUGGGUGGCGACCGGCGCACGGGUGAGUAACGCGUAUCCAACCUGCCCAUUACUCUGGGAUAGCCUUGCGAAAGUAAGAUUAAUACCGGAUGUUGUUAAAAACCCGCAUGAGUUUUUAUCCAAAGAUUUAUUGGUAAUGGAUGGGGAUGCGUGACAUUAGGUAGUUGGUGAGGUAACGGCUCACCAAGCCUACGAUGUCUAGGGGUUCUGAGAGGAAGGUCCCCCACACUGGAACUGAGACACGGUCCAGACUCCUACGGGAGGCAGCAGUGAGGAAUAUUGGUCAAUGGACGAGAGUCUGAACCUGCCAAGUAGCGUGCAGGAUGACGGCCCUCUGGGUUGUAAACUGCUUUUAGUUGGGAAUAAAAAGAGGGACGUGUCCCUAAUUGUAUGUACCAUCAGAAAAAGGACCGGCUAAUUCCGUGCCAGCAGCCGCCGUAAAAC